rnacentral:rRNA from 1 species
AGUGAACGCUGGCGGCGUGCUUAACACAUGCAAGUCGAACGGUAACAGGAACUAGCUUGCUAGUUUGCUGACGAGUGGCGCACGGGUGAGUAAUAUAUAGUUAAUGUACCCCAAAGACUGGGAUAGCCACUGGAAACGGUGAUUAAUACUAGAUACACCUCUUUAAUAUAAGUUAGAGAGGGAAAUGUUUUUUCGCUUUGGGAUCAGACUAUAUCCUAUCAGUUAGUUGGUGAGGUAAUGGCUCACCAAGGCAAUGACGGGUAGCGGUUCUGAGAGGAUGAUCCGCCACACUGGUACUGAGACACGGACCAGACUCCUACGGGAGGCAGCAGUGAGGAAUAUUGCACAAUGGGGGGAACCCUGAUGCAGCAACGCCGCGUGGAGGAUGACGCAUUUCGGUGUGUAAACUCCUUUUAUAUGUCAAGAAAAUGACGGUAGCAUAUGAAUAAGCACCGGCUAACUCCGUGCCAGCAGCCGCGGUAAAGUA